rnacentral:misc_RNA from 1 species
CGCCGGCGUCUUUAAGAAAGUGUUCAAAUAGUCCAAGGCGCCCGACCACUGCAGCGUGGCCGUCAGCACGAUGUUGAAAAUUGCGAACGGCAUGAGGUACUUCCAACCAAAACUCAUCAGCUGAUCGAAACGAAAGCGCGGGAAAGUACCGCGCAGCCAGAUAUAGAAAAAGAGAAACAGCACGACCUUGCCAAAAAAGUAGAAGAUGCCAAGCCACGGAACCUGAUGCACGAACGGG